rnacentral:rRNA from 1 species
CACACCCUAAACGAUGAAUACUAGAUGUUGGUCUUUUUUAAGAUCAGUAUCCAAGCUAACGCAUUAAGUAUUCCACCUGGGAAGUACAAUCGCAAGGUUGAAACUCAAAGGAAUUGACGGGGGCCCGCACAAGCAGUGGAGCAUGUGGUUUAAUUCGACGCAACGCGAAGAACCUUACCUAGGCUUGAAACGCAAAUUAAUCCUGAUGAAAGUCGGAGUGCCGCAAGGCGAAUUUGUACAGGUGC